rnacentral:rRNA from 1 species
UACGUAGGGGGCAAGCGUUGUCCGGAUUCAUUGGGCGUAAAGAGCGUGUAGGCGGCCAGGUAGGUCGGUUGUGAAAACUGGAGGCUCAACCUUCAGAGGUCGACCGAAACCAUCUGGCUAGAGUCCGGGAGAGGAGAGUGGAAUUCCUGGUGUAGCGGUGAAAUGCGCAGAUAUCAGGAAGAACACCCGUGGCGAAAGCGGCUCUCUGGAACGGUACUGACGCUGAGACACGAAAGCGUGGGUAGCAAACAGG